rnacentral:rRNA from 1 species
CCUACGGGUGGCUGCAGUGAGGAAUAUUGGUCAAUGGCCGGAAGGCUGAACCAGCCAUGCCGCGUGAAGGUCAGUGCCCUAUGGGCGUUAAACUUCUUUUAAGAGGGAAGAGCAGAAGACGGUACCUCUUGAAUAAGCCACGGCUAACUACGUGCCAGCAGCCGCGGUAAUACGUAGGUGGCAAGCGUUGUCCGGAUUUACUGGGUGUAAAGGGCGUGCAGCCGGGAAGACAAGUCAGAUGUGAAAUCCCGCGGCUCAACCGCGGAACUGCAUUUGAAACUGUUUUUCUUGAGUACCGGAGAGGUCAUCGGAAUUCCUUGUGUAGCGGUGAAAUGCGUAGAUAUAAGGAAGAACACCAGUGGCGAAGGCGGAUGACUGGACGGCAACUGACGGUGAGGCGCGAAAGCGUGGGGAGCAAACAGGAUUAGAUACCCCAGUAGUC